GACUAUGCCCAAGGGUACAGAGAGCCUAUGGGAGCCAGCAAGAUCAUGACCUCAGAGCCUGACAUCACAGGCAAUGAGAUGAGGAAAAGGAGGAGCUGACUCCUGCUCUCACCAAGGAGAGCAGCACCCUGAGUAGAAGGAUGUGUGACACUGCCCUCCCUGACUCUGCCUGGGGACCCACCCUGCUGUGCUGUGUUACUGUCUUUCUCCUGGGAACAAGUUCAGCCAAUCCUGGGGUCAUCCAGUCUCCAAGACACAUAAUCAAAGCAAAGGGAGGAAGGUCCAUUCUGAAAUGUAUUCCCAUCUCUGGACAUGCCAGUGUGAGCUGGUACCAACAGACUCUGGGGCAGGAACUGAGGUUCUUCAUUCAGCAUUAUGAAAGAACAGAGCAAGCAAAAGGAAACAUGCCCAACCGAUUCUCAGUCCAGCAGUUCAGUGACUAUCGCUCUGAGAUGAACAUGAGCACCUUGCAGCUGGAGGACUCUGCUGUGUACUUCUGUGCCAGCUCACCACAGCCUUACAGAGUGACAGGCUUUCUGUCCCUUAAUCUUCCUGUCCCCGCUGGUGAUGUACUAGAGAGAGGUUAUGAAAUUCCACACAACCUUAUCCAAGGCCCAGAUGCUUCUAGGUCUUUACUAAUCCCCUCACUACCUAAGCCUACACAGAGUGGUCCUAAAAGUGGCUUGGGCCCCAAGACUCCAGAUGUUCUCAUGUGUCUGCCAAUGCCUUCUAGCUCCUACCUAGCCAGUGGGAGGAGACCCUGCUCUGUGAUGGGUGUGAGCAUAGGCAAUAUGUCUUAG